AUGGCUUAUACGUCCUUAGGAAACUCUGCCAUGAUGAGAGACAUCUCUAGCUUCCAAUCGGUCAGUUCGUCCAACGGUUAUAUGGAACUCCACCACGGAAAUGUCCACGUGACGGUCUAUAGUCCGGGUCGACCUCUGGUUGUCGUGUUCCAGGGGAAACAGGCUUUCGUGAACCAAAAACUCGUUAGCAAGAAUACGGACUGUCUAAACGACAAACUGACGUACCAAAAGACCGCCGAUGGGGCAAUCUGGUGCACCAAUCUGCCGGUGGGCGAGAAGAUAACAGGAAUGGAGAUAAAAAAAUUUAACGAAAACAUCUGGAGGAUGAGAGAGGAGAGAGAGAGGGCGCAAGGACUCACCAUGAUGAAGCUCGAGGGUGCAAACAGGACGAGAGUAGAAGCUCUCCAAGGGGCAGAGAGAGCUAGGCAGGCUGCUAUGAGACAGGCUAGGAGAGCUAUGGAGGAAUCAAACAUGGCGAGGGUAGAAGCUCUACAGGGGGCAGAGAGAGCUAGGCAGGCUGCCAUGGGACAGGCUAGAAGAGCUAUGGAGGAAGCGAAUAGGUCGAGGGAGAUAGCUCUCAGAGAAACGGAAAGAACCAGGAGGGCUGCCAUGGAGCAGGCUAGGAGAGGUAUGGAGAUGACCAAUAGUUUCUGGAGGAGAAACUGGUGACAGGGUGUGGUGAGCUCUGACGUUCACGGCCUAAAUGCACGUUUUUCUCCAGGAGAAAGAAAUGGAAAGCGCGAGAAAGAGAAAGAGAAUAGAAAGAAAAAGCGCCAGAGAAAAACGAUGGACGGUGUAAUAAUAAAUGGACACUGAGACAAAUUGUUGUAUUUCAAACGCUACUUAACUCGUAACCAGACCUCCAAAGAAACCACCACAAACUGGCUCUAUAUGUUGAUCUUUAAAUCAAAAUAUAUUCCGAUCUCCCCAUCUCUCGGAUCAGUCCUAAAUUCGAGCAAACAAAAAUGUGUAAACCGCGAUUUUGUGUUUAAAUGUGUCACUAUUCCACUUCUGUAGAAAUUUAAUGUGUAAACCUCAUUCAACUUCAGCAAAUUGAGAAUGCAAGCACGAAGUGCACGCUUCAAAAACAUGUGUGAAAGUAAUGUUUCUUUUCCCAUGGAUCCAUCCUAUUCUUUCAGAGAAAUAAAGAAAAUGUAAAAAAUUUGCGUAUUUUAUUUCCUACAGCAUUUACUCUCGGUAGGAAUACAAUUUUAACCUAAAAAUUUUACCAGCAAGGCUUCUUGGUACAAUACUCAAGAAUAAUUUAAAAGCUGUUGUUUCUUCGUUUAUCGUUACAGAACAGUUAAUCCAGAAUUUCAGAGCUAGUAGCGAUAAUUGAAGUUUUCACCUGGUUUUUUUAAUAGCAAUAUUCCGGUGAUGCAAGCACUUUCCACUUACCGAUAGCGUAAAUUUUGUUUUCUAUCAAGAAGAAAUUGGAUUUUUCCACAUUUUCAAGAUUCUGUUUCGUUUAUUGUAACAAGUAAUAUUGCUGUACAUUCGAUACAUAAGUCGUCUAUUGCGAUUGAUCGGCCCAGCUUUCAUUCAGAAUGAAUUUGAAAUAAACAAAAAAUUAUGACUUUGGCUCCAAUGUCGAUUUUAGAGCACCUCCUUUCCCUAUUUUUCUCUCUAAGAAAUUUUGAAGAAAUAGACCGCAAUCAAAAGUUUCUCGGGUAUUUUGCUUCAUAAUAUGAGCGAUGUGUAUGAAUUGAAGUCUCAACUUUGAUAGCUUACCAAAGAGAAAACUCCAAGGAAAACAAGAAAUACACGAGUUUUUUCGGGUGACAUGAUUAUUCACUUUUUCACAAACUGAGGGCCUCUUAGCACAUACCGGCGCUUUUAUGACGACUCUUAGGCUUCCGCGUGUAAUUAAAUUUUGAAGCUGGCUCGCGAUCCGUUUAGCGUCGUUUUUCAGUGGAAAGUUCGAAGGUGAUAAAAUGGAUAUGUCACGCCAUCUGCUCAAUUGUCGACAGAGAUUUUGACACGUUAUGACUGACUCAUCAAAGAUCAAACGCUAACAGGGACAUUUUGCGACGUGAUCAGAGAUUUAUCACACUAUCCGAUCCGAGGUAAAACAAUGUACGAGUUAGGCUUUUUAAUUAUUCAAAACGUCAAGUCGAAAGUUAGGGGCCGUUCAAGUAUUAUACAUAAGCUACUGUAGGGAUGGGCUGAACAUGCCUUACCGGGUCUUACGAGGGAGACUUGGUCAAGACAAGUCCAGUCUUACAUAAGCCUUAGGUGCAGCUUCAUGUAGUCCUCACUAUCGAUUGCACGAGUAUCGUCUUUGGAGAUUGUGUUUCAUUCCUGACGAGUAUACCCGCCUUUUUUCAAAAACAUUUUCACGACCGUCACACCGUAAUAGGAUAUUUUGUGUAUUAAAAGAGGGGAGAUGUCAGAUAAAAAAAAAUAUCCGUAGUAAAUUUGUAAGCCUGAUACUAAACUUGACCAGGAAAAAAAUGCCUCGAUCAAAAAUAAUCAAGCUGAAUUAUUAGUUUUUUGGAGGCCAAAUUGGACACUUUUCG
rnacentral:lncRNA from 1 species